rnacentral:rRNA from 1 species
UGGCGGACGGGUGAGUAAUGUCUGGGAAACUGCCCGAUGGAGGGGGAUAACUACUGGAAACGGUAGCUAAUACCGCAUAACGUCGCAAGACCAAAGAGGGGGACCUUCGGGCCUCUUGCCAUCGGAUGUGCCCAGAUGGGAUUAGCUAGUAGGUGGGGUAACGGCUCACCUAGGCGACGAUCCCUAGCUGGUCUGAGAGGAUGACCAGCACACUGGAACUGAGACACGGUCCAG